UACGUAGGGGGCAAGCGUUGGUCCGGAUUUAUUGGGCGUAAAGAGCGUGUAGGCGGUUUGGUAGGUCCGCUGUGAAAACUCGAGGCUCAACCUCGAGACGCCGGUGGAAACCAUCAGACUAGAGUCCGGAAGAGGAGAGUGGAAUUCCUGGUGUAGCGGUGAAAUGCGCAGAUAUCAGGAAGAACACCCGUGGCUAAGGCGGCUCUCUAGUACGGUACUGACGCUGAGACGCGAAAGCGUGGGGAGCGAACAGG
rnacentral:rRNA from 1 species